rnacentral:sRNA from 1 species
UGGAACAGGAGGGGGGAUGGUUACUCCCAU